rnacentral:lncRNA from 1 species
UGAGAACACUAAGCCAUAUUGAUCUUCUUUCAAACCAGAUGCUGAUUCAUGCAACCCCUUGCAGAUCUUUGCUGAAGUCCUUAUGGAAAAGGGAAUAAACUUGAAAAUUCCACUCUAAUAGCAAAAACAUUUUGGAAAAUCCCAAUACUUAGAGCUUCAAAGUGCCUGGCUUGGGUUUCUGAACUCCUCCAAGUGAGAGAAGUCAAGCAGGAGGUGCUGGUCCUUCAAAUACCUGCUGGGUCUGUCGACACAGGGAAGAGCUAAGAAGAGAACCAGAUAGGCGGAAAGUUUCAGUUUUGCAAGAUGAAAAUUCUAGAGAUCUGGUACAUUACAGUAAAUCUCUCCCAGUGCUUUCCCAUUUGUGCUACUCCAGGAUGCAUUGCCUUCUGUACUGCUUCCAUGCCAGAGAACAUGGUUAACUCUCUCCUGUGUUGGAUCUCCCCUGUCCUGUACUCAGGGGUUUCCUCAUUGGUAAAGCACACACUGAAGUGGCUUCCUAAUAAAGAAAGUGAAAUGGUAAGUUUUUCGAAACCUUAUAUGUCUUCCCAUUUGACCAAUGAAUUUGAUUGCAUAUAGAACUCUAGAUGGGAGAUCAUUUUUAUUUUAUUUUUUUAUAAUGAUUUUUAUUUUUUCCAUUAUAGUUGGUUUACAGUGUUCUGUCAAUUUUUGAUUGUACAGCAAGUGACCCAGUAACACAUACAUAUAUACACAUUAUCCUCCAUCAUGCUCCAUCACAAGUGACUAGAUACAGUUCCCAGUGCUAUACAGCAGGAUCUCAUUGCUUAUCCAUUCCACCUGCAAUAGUUUGCAUCUGUUAACCCCAGAUUCCCAGUCUAUCCCAUUCCCUCCCCCGCCCCCUUGGCAACCACAAGUCUGUUCUCCAAGUCCAUGAGUUUCUUUUCUAUGGAAAGGCUCAGGUGCCAUAUAUUAGACUCCAGAUAUAAGUGAUAUCAUAUGGUAUUUGUCUUUCUCUUUCUGACUUACUUCACUUAGUAUGAGAAUCUCUAGUUCCUUCCAGGUUGCUGCAAAUGGCAUGAUUUUGUUCUUUUGUAUGGCUGAGUAGUAUUCCAUUUAAAAGCAUUGUUCUAUUGUCUUCAAGCUUCCACUAAUGCUAUUAAGAAGUCUGAAGUUCUCUCACCUUCUGAGUAUUAGUAAUAUGACCUGU